CUUGUUAUGCAAGCAAGGGUGAAACGGGAAGCCGGUGACCUCGCGCAAGCGUGCAUUCCGGCGCAGCCCCCGCUGCUGUAAGCCUGACGACUCCGCAUCCGCCACUGUGUUCGCACGGGAAGGCGCGGGGAAGGACGACGGCGAGCCAGAAGACCGGCCCGAAAACG
rnacentral:ncRNA from 1 species